rnacentral:rRNA from 1 species
GAUGAACGCUGGCGGCGUGCCUAAUACAUGCAAGUCGAGCGAACAGACGAGGAGCUUGCUCCUUUGACGUUAGCGGCGGACGGGUGAGUAACACGUGGGUAACCUACCUAUAAGACUGGUAUAACUUCGGGAAACCGGAGCUAAUACCGGAUAAUAUUUCGAACCGUAUGGUUCGAUAGUGAAAUAUGGCUUUGCUAUCACUUAUAGAUGGACCUGCGCCGUAUUAGCUAGUUGUUAAGUUAACGACUUACCAAGGCAACGAUACGUAGCCGACCUGAGAGGGUGAUCGGCCACACUGGAACUGAGACGCGGUCCAGACUCCUACGGGAGGCAGCAGUAGGGAAUCUUCCGCAAUGGGCGAAAGCCUGACGGAGCAACGCCGCGUGAGUGAUGAAGGUCUUCGGAUCGUAAAACUCUGUUAUUAGGGAAGAACAAACGUGUAAGUAACUGUGCACGUCUUGACGGUACCUAAUCAGAAAGCCACGGCUAACUACGUG